AGCAGCCGCGGUAAUUCCAGCUCCAAUAGCGUAUAUUAAAGUUGUUGCAGUUAAAAAGCUCGUAGUUGAAUUUCGGGGUCAGCAGGUUGGUCGUGCCACUGGUAUGCACUGGCUUCGCUGAUUCCUCCUUUCUGAAGAACUGUAAUGCCAUUAAUUAGGUGUUGCAGGGAAACAGGACUGUUACUUUGAAAAAAUUAGAGUGUUUAAAGCAGGCUAACGCUUGAAUACAUUAGCAUGGAAUAAUGAAAUAGGACGUUAAUCCUAUUUUGUUGGUUUCUAGGAUCGACGUAAUGAUUAAUAGGGAUAGUUGGGGGCAUUAGUAUUCAAUUGUCAGAGGUGAAAUUCUUGGAUUUAUUGAAGACUAACUACUGCGAAAGCAUUUGCCAAGGAUGUUUUCAUUAAUCAAGAACGAAAGUUAGGGGAUCGAAGACGAUCAGAUACCGUCGUAGUCUUAACCAUAAACUAUGCCGACUAGGGAUCGGAUGAUGUUAUUUUUAAUGACUCA
rnacentral:rRNA from 1 species